CGAAAGCUAGUUGUAUUAACUAUUAGUUAAUGCAAGAUCGACUACGUCGACUAAAGUUCUAGGUAGAAUAAUGAUGAUGACAAUUUUUUACCUAUAUGUCUUGACCAAGUCUCGUGCCAGCAGUCGCGGAAAUACGUGGAAGACUAGUGUUAUUCAUCUUUAAUAGGUUUAAAGGGUACCUAGACGGUAUUUCUAGCCCAAAAUAGGGUACGGAUUUACUAGAGUUUUAUGUGAGGAGGGGAGUACUCGUGGAGUAGAGAUGAAAUUUUGUGAUACUAUGAGGAAACUGGUGGCGGCGAAAGCAACCUUCUAUGUAUAAACUGACGUUGAGGGACGAAGGCUUGGGUAGCAAAUAGGAUUAGAUACCCUAGUAGUCCAAGCAGACAAUUCUGAAUGCCAUAGAUUAGAUUAUUUUUGGUCUAUAAAUGAAAGUGUAAGCAUUCCACCUUAGGAGUAAUGUGGCAACACAGGAACUGAAAUCAUUAGACCGUUUCUGAAACCAGUAGUGAAGUAUGUUAUUUAAUUUGAUGGUCCACAAAAAACCUUACCACAACUUGAAUAUUAUUAAAUUAAUACAAGCGUUGCACGGCUGUCUUCAGUUAAUGUCGUGAGAUUUUGGUUAACUCCAUUAAUUAACGUAAACCCUUA
rnacentral:rRNA from 1 species